rnacentral:rRNA from 1 species
UACGUAGGGUGCGCGCGUUAAUCGGAAUUACUGGGCGUAAAGCGUGCGCAGGCGGUUUUAUAAGGCAGGUGUGAAAUCCCCGGGCUCAACCUGGGAAUGGACUUUGUGACUGUAAGACUAGAGUACGGUAGAGGGGGAUGGAAUUCCGCGUGUAGCAGUGAAAUGCGUAGAUAUGCGGAGGAACACCGAUGGCGAAGGCAAUCCCCUGGACCUGUACUGACGCUCGUGCACGAAAGCGUGGGGAGCAAACAGG